UAGAUUUCCCCAUUACUUAUUAGACAAAAUCCCUAAGUUCCUAAGCUUAGUACAUUCAUAGGUUUCAUUACCCUGGCUCAAAACUAUCCCCCACCAAAAUAACUAACGAUCUAUCAUUUAUAUUUCUAUGUCUUUGACAAAUUAUAUCAGUGGAGUAUUUAUACACACUAUAUAUACAUAUUUUCUUUCUUCCUUUGUGUACACACACCUUCUUCCAACCAGACAGCGCAGAGGGGCAAGAUUGACAAUAUCUUGUCCAGGUAUGAAUCUUAUCCCUCACUCAGGGCUUUCCUCUUACAGUGAUGCAAUGGUCCUCAGUGGAAGAGAGGCAAUCAAUAUCUGGCUAUUCUGUUCUGAACCUUCAUCUCCUUCCUGCAAUUAGAUGCUGUCAGACUUCUCUUAGGUAAGGAAAAGUUAAUUUACAUAGUACGCUAAGGUGAUGAUAGGUAUCUUCUAAUGGAUCCUGAGAUCUAGGGCAGAGCAAAGGGUUGGUCACAGCCACUGCCUGGAAUAGAAAACCUCAGGGGCUCCUGGGUGACAGAAUGGUUGAGUGUCUGCCUUCAGCUCAGGGUGUGAUCCUGGAGUCCUGGGAUCGAGUCCCACAUCAGGUUCCCUGCAUAGAGCCUGCUUCUCCCUCUGCCUCUGUCUCUGCCUCUCUCUGUGUGUGUAUGUCUGUCAUGAAUAAAUAAAUAAAUAAAACCUUUAAAACAAAAAUGAAAACCUCAGAGAUCAGUUCAGUGUGUCCAGGGUCAGCUCUACAAAUCACCCCUAUGCCUGCUGAUCCAUAUAAGGUAGAGCAUAGGAUAUAGGUAUACCAUAACCAAUGAAAAGAAAAAGAAAAUUAUAAAAUCUUAGGCUUGUUAGCAUAGUUAUUUAAUCCUGAAGCUACUUCAUGUCCUGAUCAUUCUUUCUGACAUCAUUGUUGGCUUAAGAAAGUAGCCCAAGGUCCACUUCUGCUAAAGUCUGUCAGAUUUGAAGAAUUGUCCAGCUGUCCAUGUUGUCUGGGAUCUUUGGCCUCCUGAGACUGGUCAGAGCUGGGUGGGUGUACGGGAAGCAUAUCGCUUCAGAGUUUGUCAUUAGCACUCAGGAGGUACAAUGACCCCUUUCUCUAUUGUCAAUUUGACUGACUUUUCCCUGCCAGAUGCCAAAGGUGAAUUCAUAGAAGGUCUGGUCUAAAGAGACUUCAAAGUAGUUAACAGUUAUGUAUUCGUUUUCUAUUUCUGCUGUAAUAAAUUACCACAAACUUGGUGACUUUGAACAAUGCGAACUUAUUAGCUCACAGUUCAGCCAGUUGGAAGUCCAGAUGGACUUGGCUGAACUCUGCUUUUGGUCUCUCACAAGACAGAUCAAGUGUUUGCCAGCCUGGGCUCUUCUCUGAAGUCUCUGGCCUCUGGGAACCUCUCUCAGCUUUUUCAGGCCACUUUCUCCCUCCAGGAAUUAUUUCUUUCACCAGCCAUAUCUCCAAACCAGCAAUGCCACAUGAUCCCUUCUUACACUUUAAGACUUUCUCACUUCUGCAGCAUCCUUUCUCUCUCCAGCUAGAGAAGAGUUUCUGCUUUUAAGGGCUCAUAUAAUUGUAUUGGGCACAAAUAAUCCAAGAUUAUCUCCCUACUUUAAGAUCUUGAAUUAAAUUUGAAAGUCUCUUUUGCCUUGUAACUUAACAUACUUAAAAUUUUCUGAGGAUGAUGGGGUGGGCAUCUUUGAGGGUUAUAAUUCUGUCUUCUACAAAUCAUGAAUAGGAUAGAGGAACACAGUGAAAAUAAAGAAGGCAUAUGGACCACAUUUUUCUACAUAAUGGAAGCUCAUGGCUACAAUGAAAUUGAGAGGAAGAUAUAGAGAUUUCCCAUAUACCUCCAGCUCCCAUAGACUCAGGCUCCCCCAUUAUUGAUAUCCCUAUCAGAAUAGUAUAGUUAUUACUAUUUAUUAACUAUUUAUGAACACAUAAAUCACUGAAGCCCAUUAUUUACCUUAGAGUUUACUCUUGAUGGAGUACAUUCUAAGGAUUUUAACAAAUGUAUAAUGACAUAUAUCAUAAUGGUAUCAUACAGGGUAUUUUUACUGCCUUAAAAAUCCUUUGUGCUCUGCUUAUUCAACAUCCCUAGCCCUAACAUUUGACCACCACUGAUCACCAACUAUCUCCAUGUUUUAUCUUUUCCAGAGUGUCCUAGUGUUGGAAUCAUGCAAUAUGUAGCCUUUUCAAAUUGGCUUCUCUCACUACGUAAUUACAUUUAAAGUUCUUCCAUGUCGGGGUGCUUGGAUGGUGUAGUUGGUUAAGCCUCCAACUAUUGAUGUCAGCUCAGGUCAUGAUCUCAAGGUAUUGGAAUCAAACCCUGCAAUGGGCUCUAUGCUCAGUGAGGAGUCAGCUUGAGACUCUCUUUCCCCCUCCCUUUUCCCCUCCCACUCCUGCUCUCUCUCUCUCAAGCUCUUUCUCUCUCUCUCAAGUAAAUAAGUCUUUAAAAAAUAAUAAAGUUCCUUUAUGUCUUUAUGUCUUAUGAAACAUAAAGAGAAAUGAGAAAGCUCAUUUCUUUUUAGUAUAGAAUUAUAUUCCACUGUUUGGGUGGACUACAGUUUAUUUAUUUACCUACCAAAGGACAUUGUGAUUGCUUCCAAGUUGCAGCAUUUUUUAAUAAAGCUGCUAUAAACAUUUGUGUUUAUGUUUUUGAGUAGACAUAAGUUUUCAACUCCUUUGGGUAAAUACCAAGUAGUGUGAUUGCUGGACCAUUUGGGAAGAAUAUGCUUAGUUCUAUAAGAAACCACGAAAUGCUCUUCCAAAGUAUAUGUACCAUUUGGCAUCCCACUAGCAAUGAGUGAGAGUCCCUGUUGCCUCAUAUCCUUGCCAGCAUUUGCUGGUGUUGGAGUUCUGGAAUCUGGCCAUACAAAUAGGUAUGUAUUGGUGUCCUAUUGCCAUUUUAACUUGCAUUUCCCUGAUGACUAACGAUGUGGAGCAUGUUUUCAUGUGCUUAUUUGACAUCUGUAUAUCUUCUUUGAUGAGGUAUCUGUUAAGAUCUUUGGCUUCUCUUACUUGGACCCAUUUCCUUUUUUCUUGCACUUUUUGGUUGGAAAAAAAAAAGAUUAGUUGUUUGUCCCAGUGAAAUUCUCCAUUUUGGAUUUUGUUGAUUGCACCUAUAUAGUUUCAUUUAACAUGUUCUUCUCUUCCCUGCAUUUCUUAAGAACUAAUAUUUAGUUUUAAACUGAGGCUUGAUAAACAUCUGUUUUGGGACAUCUGGGUGGCUCAGCAGCUGAGCAUCUGCCUUUGGCUCAGGGUGUGAUCCUGGUCCAGGGAUCCAGUCCCGCAUCAGGCUUCUUGCAUGGAGCCUGCUUCUCCCUCUGCCUAUGUCUCUGCCUCUCUCUGUGUGUCUCAUGAAUAAAUAAGUAAAAUCUUAAAAAUAUUUUUUAAAAAGAUCUGUUUGGAACUAGAGGAGACUAUCAUUUCAGAGGUGAUAUUUCAAAUUUCUACCUUCCUUUAAGAUGUUCAAAAUGGGGACACCUGGGUGGCUCAGUGGUUAAGUGCCUGCCUUUGGUCCAUGGUGUGAUCCUGUAGACUCAGGAUUGGAUCGAGUCCUACAUCAGGCUCCCUGCAUGGAGCCUGCCUCUCUCUCUGUCUGUGUUUCUGCCUCUCUCUGUUUCUCAUGAAUAAAUAAAUAAAAA
rnacentral:lncRNA from 1 species